rnacentral:rRNA from 1 species
UACGUAGGGUGCGAGCGUUGUCCGGAAUUAUUGGGCGUAAAGGGCUCGUAGGCGGUUUGUCGCGUCGGGAGUGAAAACCCAGGGCUUAACCCUGGGUUGGCUUCCGAUACGGGCAGACUAGAGGUAUGCAGGGAGAACGGAAUUCCUGGUGUAGCGGUGAAAUGCGCAGAUAUCAGGAGGAACACCGGUGGCGAAGGCGGUUCUCUGGGCAUUACCUGACGCUGAGGAGCGAAAGUGUGGGGAGCGAACAGG